rnacentral:rRNA from 1 species
ACGGAGGGUGCAAGCGUUAUUCGGAAUUACUGGGCGUAAAGCGCACGUAGGCCGCUUUGUAAGUCAGGGGUGAAAUCCCACGGCUCAACCGUGGAACUGCCCUUGAAACUGCAGAGCUUGAAUCCUGGAGAGGGUAGCGGAAUUCCUGGUGUAGGGGUGAAAUCCGUAGAUAUCAGGAGGAAUACCGGUGGCGAAGGCGACUUCCUGGAUAAGCACUGACGCUGAGGCGCGAAAGUGUGGGGAGCAAACAG